UGAAGGGUGACAGAGCUGAGGAGCCUGAGCACUGGCUGCUCAUCCUGAUUGCAGCGUGCCUCCAGGAUGAAGAAAUUAGAAUAUAUUGUUUUCCUAUUAUCUGAAUGCAUGAAGAAAAAUGCAAUUGAACUGAUAAAAGAGAGUAGGUUUUGGCCAAGGCACUGUUCUGCAGUGGGUGCACAUAUUCUGUUUUCAAUUCCAGCUCUGAAGUGAAAAGGGUCCAAGCUCCUGUUUUCUUGCACGCAUAGCAGAAGACAACUAGAUGGCUACCCUCAUGAAAACUGCCACUCAAACACUACGAAAGGAAGAUCCCUUCCAAAAUACAUACAGUCAUUAAAAUUAAAGUGACAAGUCACUCAUUGGAAGACAUUCUGAUCCAGUCAAAAGAGCUCUUUGAAAAAUUUCCGAAGAAUGGGGACACAGAGUGUCAGCAAACAGCACUUAAAACAUGGAAACAAUACCGAUACUUCUGAAGUAAAAGGUCAAACAAGGAAAGAAGUGGGCUCUUUUGACUUCAGAAAGGCUUGCAACACAUCUCCCACAAUACUCCUGAAUCCAUGAAAGGAUGUUACAGCCGCUGUAGGUACAAAAUUUACUGGCUGGUUGGGCUCAGAGGGUUGGGUCAAUGGGUUGUGCUCUGCCAGAGGCUGGUUAGAUGCAGGUGUCUGCCCUGGGACAAGCUGUGGUGAGCAGUAACCCAGGUCAUCAGUGACCCAGAGGAGGUAGGAGAGCUCACUGCCAUGAGGUUUGCAGCUCACUGCAGAGCAGUGGGAGCCAUCAAUAUGCUUGGCAACGGAGCUGCCAUUCCAGAAAUCUAUACAGGGUGAAGGAGAGAGCUGACAGAAGCCUUAUGAAACUCAACAAGGACAAAUGAAAACCCCUUCUUCCUGCAGAAGUAAUGGCUGGGGAGCAGCUCCCAGGGCACUGGCCUUGGGUGUGUGCAGGGAUGAGCUGACAGAAGCCAGCAGUGCCCUGGCAGCAGAGUCAGGCAGCAGCACCCAGGGCUGCAGGUACAGGAAUGCCAUAACCACAGCCACUCUCGAGUCAGCACUUCCUCUGAUACACAGGAGACACUGAUUAACAACCAGUUUCAGAAGAUAACUACCAACAUGGUCAGGCCUGGAACACUUGCCUCAUGAGGACAAACUGAGGGAGCUAGACUUGUUCCAUCUGGAGAAGACACACCUUUGGUGAGACCUGAGAGCAGCUCCUGGCACCUACACGGAAGUUAUUGAGAAGAUGAAGCCAGCCCUUCACAGUGGUGUAUAAUAGGAGAAUAGGAGACAACAGGCAUAAACUGAAAUGAGAAGUCCAGAUUGUUUAUCACACAAGUUUUUCUCACUUCUUGGACAAUGAAGCAGUGGAACAGACUGCCAAGGGAGGCUGAAUAGUCUCCAUCCUUGGAAGAUGUCAAGACCAACUGGAAAGAAAUCCUGAGUAGCUUCAUCUGAGCUCAUAGUUCACCCUACUCUGAGUAGGAGAUUGGUUUACAAGCUCCCUGAUGCUUUCUUCAAACUUGAAUUAUGCUGUGAUAGUUCACACUUCAAAGAAGGAAAACAAGACCCAUCUAUUCUUGAAUAUUAAGCCAAUUAAAAUUUUCUAAACUAAUGACAGUAUUCAAAUCUCAUGUCAAUAAUACUUGCCAAGAAAUAAAGCACCUUGCUAACUUCUCACCAACUGCCAUGCAAAAUCUCACAUUUUAUUGACAAUUUAGGCCAGAGGCAAGGCAAAUGCACUACUUGGAAGGAAGAAUACAUUUUGACUUUUCCUAAGACUCAUGAUGAGAUUAUUUUUUCAUCCUUCUUUGCCUAGGAAAAAUCAGUAAGAUUGAGACCUUUAGUGUGUUUUUAGUGCCACAUAUUCUAAAUUUGUGAAGCAUAUACAAACUACAUGUCAAACUAAACUACAAAGGAUUCCUCAAAGCUCCUAUUAUAGUAAGUGCAAAUUGAAAGGGGGGAAAGUCUGCCUGACUAGACAAAAAGAAAUCAAGUAUAAAUACCUAUGCUUUUAUGCAGACAGACAGUUUAAAUCUGUAAGCAUUUUGCCCUACAACAAAACAAUUUAAAUAUUCUUUGCAUUGUGUUUCUGUGAAAGAUUUUUUUUUCCUUAAGAUUGGUGUGUUUAUUUUGUCAUUUGUUAUGUCAAUCUCAAAUGUUGAAACUUUUGGGCUUGGGACUGCCAAGCAGCCAAAACCAAUAUUCACAGACCAGAGAUAGUUCAAACAGUGGAUCACUCACCCUCCCACAGACAAGUCUAAGAGGCAAUUGGUACUGCACCUGUUUUAACAUGCAUGGUAUCACAAUAUUGCCGUAUGUAGACAUAAUAAUUUAGGCAAAAUGUCCUAUUGCAAGAGAAGUCCCCAAAUUACUUAAAAUAUAGAACUAUACUUCAAGAAUAAUACGUAUUGGUAUCAUUCAUUCACUGGAAAAUAAGCAGUUUUGUAGCUCUCUUUGUAAAGGGAGACUUCUAGUUGCCUAUUUACGCAAUUUGAGCGUCAAUCUUCCUAGCAGAUGAUAACCAACAUUCAGCACUGACUGCAGCAGUCUAAAUUAGAAAAGAGACAUUAUAUUUCCUCGAUUAUUUUUUCUGCUCAUCCAUAAACACCAGUUAUAAUCCAUGCACAUAUUCAAGAGCAGACUAAGUGAUUGAAAAAUUUGUAGAAAGACUCCUAAAAUAUUUUGCAAAAUCUAUUCACAUCAAUCCUUGGAGGAAAAGAAUCCCCAUGAUGCAAUAACCAAGGUAUUAUUACAGUUCCCUAGCUGGGACACGUAGCUCAUAUUUCUUUAUACUAUCUGCCAAGUGAGCAGCUGACACAAUCACCAAGUGCAUCUUAAACAGUAAGUGGCAUUUGAGACUUUCAAUGACUCUUCAUUAACUUAGUGAAAGGAAAUGAGUAGAAUAAUAUUUUCUACUUUAAUCAUCUGUACAUAGCAACUAUUGUAGCAACCGUGCUACUAUUUACUUUUGCUGUAACAAUGAUGAAAUACAUCACAAUGCAAUGAAAAUAAAUUUAACUAAAAUAAGACAGAGAAGAAGAAGAUUAAAUAACCCUUGAAAUUACAGUUUGAAAGCAAUACCUAAAAAGUCAUUCUCUCAGUUGGGGGCUCUGAAGCUGGGCACACACCAAUGACUGUAUGUGCAUCACAUGUACUGCUAUCUGCAUUCUUAAGGCU